UUUCUGUACAUAGAAAAUGGAAGAUACUCUAUUGUAUGAGUGCCUUACUCAGCUGCAGAGAGACAUGGACUGCAAGCUGUUUGAGAAACUGGAAAAUGCGUUGUUAGGAUUCACUGAUGUGGUGGAAAAUGAUCCACUAAAUACUCAGAAGCUGCAAGGCCUUGAAUCCAAGCCCCAAGAGACAGGAAAUGCUGAGUCACAAAGCGGCA